AUGGAUUUGACAGCAAGCUGAACAGAUAUGUAAGCAUGCAGUGCUUUGAUUUUUGGCACUAUAAUCCUAAAUUUCAAAAAUUUAUUUGGCGAAAAUAACUUCGCUCUCGCUGCUUAAGUCGAAGUAUAGUAGACUUGCUUUAUCUCAGCACAAGGUGCAGAGACGAGACAUCGCACAACCGCUGUUGUUCCGAAGCUGUUGAGUUUGCGGUGUAAGAAAUCGGAAAUAGUCGGCAUCGGCCUCGCAAUGCAGAUGAAGUUCUUAGAGGAUAUGUGACAGGUAUAAGUGGUCUUGUCCUUCCCCUGUUGCAGACAAUUCAUGACAGGAAUAAGCAUGUAGAAAGCAUCUCUUUUCCUUGUUUGGACGGGAGUUCGAUUCUCCCCUAGUCCAC
rnacentral:tmRNA from 1 species